rnacentral:rRNA from 1 species
GACACGACUCUCGGCAAUGGAUAUCUCGGCUCUUGCAUCGAUGAAGAGCGCAGCGAAAUGNGAUACGUGGUGCGAAUUGCAGAAUCCCGCGAAC